rnacentral:rRNA from 1 species
GAUGAACGCUGGCGGCGUGCUUAACACAUGCAAGUCGAACGGAAAGGCUCCUGCUUGCAGGGGUACUCGAGUGGCGAACGGGUGAGUAACACGUGGGUGAGCUGCCCUGCACUUCGGGAUAAGCCUGGGAAACUGGGUCUAAUACCGGAUAGGACGAUGGUUUGUAUGCUAUUGUGGAAAGGUUUUUCGGAGUGGGAUGAGCUCGCGGCCUAUCAGCUUGUUGGCGGGGUAAUGGCCUACCAAGGCGUCGACGGGUAGCCGGCCUGAGAGGGUGUACGGCCACAUUGGGACUGAGAUACGGCCCAGACUACUACGGGAGGCAGCAGUGGGGAAUAUUGCACAAUGGGCGCAAGCAUGAUGCAGCGACGCCGCGUGGGGGAUGACGGCCUUCGGGUUGUAAACUCCUUUCGCUAGGGACGAAGCGCAAGUGACGGUACCUGGAGAAGAAGCACCGGCUAACUACGUG